rnacentral:rRNA from 1 species
UACGAAGGGUGCAAGCGUUAAUCGGAAUUACUGGGCGUAAAGCGCGCGUAGGUGGUUCAGUAAGUUGGAAGUGAAAUCCCCGAGCUCAACCUGGGAACUGCUUUCAAAACUGCUGAGCUAGAGUACGGUAGAGGGUGGUGGAAUUUCCUGUGUAGCGGUGAAAUGCGUAGAUAUAGGAAGGAACACCAGUGGCGAAGGCGACCACCUGGACUGAUACUGACACUGAGGUGCGAAAGCGUGGGGAGCAAACAGG